AUACCCUGUACCCUCUUAAUGACAACAUUUCUGCCUGGUAAACAAUUUUGUACGUACAUUUUUAUAUCUGUUAUCCUCAUGUUUAAUCUUUAUACUCCACAACUUGCAACUGACAUGCACAUCUGUCACCCUCCUCUUCACACACACACACAUACACACACAUACACACACACAACACACACUCUUAUACACAAAUAUUUGAACGGUGAGGGGAGGGGCUUGUGACUCAAACCGCAAAUCAGAAUGGAUCAAUAACAGAACAGUGUGAGGGGGGAAAACUUGUAGUAGUAGCUCUGCGAAUGUGCUGUUUGUUAUUACAUUAUUACUGUGUAUUUAGGCCAUUAAAAUCAACUUAAAGACAGAAGAAACUAAGAUGAAGACUGUCAUUGUGGGCAUUGGAGGAAUAACCAAUGGGGGAAAAUCUACUCUUGCAACAAGGCUCCACCAACAAAUACCCAACAGCUGUCUCAUUGCUCAAGAUGUUUAUUUUAAGGAGGAUUGCGAGGUGCCAGUCGAUUCAAAAGGAUUCAAGCAAUAUGAUGUGGUCAGUGCUCUUCAUAUGGACCGGAUGACAGAUCAUGUGGAGUUGUGGAAGAAAAACCCAGAGAGUUUUAUGAAACAGAAAUCUCUAAGAGUCUUUGAAGAAUCACUACUGGGCAAAGAUGUGUUUGUGCUGAUCGUGGAAGGCUUUUUAAUAUACAACUACAGGCCGCUGAACAGCUUGUACAACAAAAAGUACUUCUUGGAGAUACCAUAUGAGAUCUGCAAGACGAGACGAAGUACUCGCAUGUACAACCCCCCGGACCCUCCUGGAUAUUUUGAUGGUCAUGUUUGGCCAAUGUACCUCAAGAACCGUAAAGAAAUGGAAGAAAUGUUGUCAGACAUAGUACGAACAGAAACCUAAAGGUCCUAUAUUACACAAAACUGACUUGUGAGCUUUAAGCCACAGUGGAGAAAACACAAUUCAAGUUUUUGUAGACGGUUUACAAGAGAAGGACCAGCUAUUAGAUUCUGUGUACAAGGAUAUCGUGGAAAUCAUAAAGGGGCUCAACAAGUAAUUAUGAAAUCUGAAUCUCCAUAAAUUCCAGACAGGCUUGAUUGUAUAAAGGACCAAUGUGUACAUUGAAAAAUACCAAAGAAGUGAUUCCAGAAAGAAAAAUGUUAAAAAUAAUUGUGCAACACUUGUGGCGAAGAAAGUGUUUAAUGGUGUGUAAGUUUUCUGGUGAAGGGUACAUCACCCGCUUUUCUUUGUGGAGAUGUUAUUAUUAACUGUAAUUGAAUACAUUUUGGAUAACUUAAUGCCAUACUGUGGAAAAUUUCAGGCAAAGUAAUAACAUAUCCAUGGAGAUUUGAUCCCCCACCAGAAAAGUUAUAAUUUAUUCUUUAUUGUUAUGUGUGUGUUGUGAAAUAGAAGGAUGGUCAUGUAAUUGUGAUUUGUCUCCCCCUGGUGGUUAACGCAUGAUGAACAGGGUCUAUAGAAAAAUGCUGGAUUGUGGCACUUGAUCACGCAAUUUUGUUAUCAAACUGCACUGUUUUUGAUAAGAAAAUAGAAAUUCCAGCUCUUGUGAUGAGGGCAUGUGUGAGUUUUCUUUCUGAAAUCAGAGAUAAAAGAAAUGCAGAACAAACAGUGCAACAAAACCCAUAUUUUUUAAUGCCAUGUCAUGUUUUUACACUAUAAUAUAAUACAACUCAAUGUGAAAGUAUUUGAACUAUUCAAAUACAGUACUUGGACCAUGUAAUGGAUUUAUACUUUGUAGCUGAUAACAUUAACAUUACCUGGGGGUGUGACGCUAACUAGAGGCUCUGCUCUGUCUGAGACUUUGUUAGACUUUAAUCUGAGCUGUAUUUUAAUGCAAUCUGAUUCUGAAAGACUUGACUUAGUGGGAACUACAACAGGUGAGCUGAUUUGUGCUCUUAAACAGGUCUAUCAUGCGUAAAAUUACAGUCUUAAGUUUUCAUGCUCACCUUUUUGUUGAAAAUCAAACACCUAUACAGGACCAUGAACGCCUGUACUGAUCACAGGCUCCUGAAAAUAUGUUGUUUUAUUUUGGGGUUUUUUUGUUUUUUUUCUUGAGUUUUGAGACCAUCUUAAAACUUAUUUGACAGUGUGUACUAAUCUGCGCAAUGUCUCCAUGGUAACUUUUGAACAUUCCAUCAUAGACAUACAUGUAGGACACCCUCAGCGUGAUAUCAUUGCAAAGUAUUGAUGUGUUACAAAAUUCAUUUUAAUGCAGUUAUUCAGUGUUCUGUAACUAAAUGUCACUGUGUGUAAUAAAGCUUAGGAUCAGUGUGAAUACAUUUUUUUAAAUAAC